UUUCUAAAAUGAAUGGCUUUUUUUAUCAUAGUUUAUAGUAGAAAUAGUAUUUUUAUAACAGAAGUGGACAACAAAAUAAUGUUCUCUUUCCACUUUGUGCAUGCAUUUAAAGAAAGCUCUGUUAGGGAGCAUAUUGAGUUUUUUCCUCUUCCUCCUCCUCUUUCCAUGGAGUUAAAAGCCAAUAAUGACAGUUUACAGGAGCCUUUGUGUGCUGCAUCAUUGCCACGUGGAUGGUGAAGGGAUGCAGGGCAGGAGGUGAUGAUUGCCAGUGCACACCUUUGGGUGUGUUGUGCUGCUCAUACCUCAAACACGAAGUUCUCUCACCACACCUUAGAGAUCUGUUUUUAAUGGCUCUUAGGAAAUGCUGCUGCUUGAGUAGGACAUGCAGCCUGGACUAAAGGAGUGCUUGUGGUUUCUGUGAGCAAAGCAGAGGAGUACACAAGAUAAAAAUCAUUUUUAUGUGCUUAGAACCUUUUAGUGCUCUGUAUGGUCCAUCCUCAAUCACCCUUCCACAUAAUUAAUUGGUCACAACAGAUAAGCAAAAGAGUUGUGACUAUAGUAUUUUGAUUUGGGUUUUUUUUUUUUGUCUUUUAAACUGCAAUGUUAUAAAUGUUCCUGUAAUGCUGCGUUUUUUUCUUAAAAUAGUAUUUUUGUGGUAUGUUUUGAUCUCAGAAAAGCAGACAGGGACUGUUUAAUUUCUGGGUUUAAUUUUAGUAAUUUAAUUUCAAAAAGGAUGAUCAUACAAAAUUCUCUGAGAGCACUCAGAGGUAUCUUUUAAACUGCUCUUUUAAAUUUUCUCUUUGGAAUUGUCCUUUCUUUGGAGGUGCCAGUCAGCAUGGAUAGUGCUGUGAGAAAACUGAACCAAAUUCUGCACUCAACAGCAACAAAAUCCUUCUGCUUUGCGUUGCUGUAGGACUACGGGAUCUUGAAGCUGAGUCUGCUCAGUAGGAAAUUACUGGAAAAAACAGUGGCACAUUCCCUUGAUCUGUGUGAGAUUCUUGCCUUAGUCCAGGACAUUUUUACUGUAGCCUUGCAAGGGAGCAAAGCAAACUUUACACAUUUAAACCAUAUUUUAUCCAUUAUUUCCCCACUGUUACUGCUUCCACAUGAUGACAAGUUCCAAACUAACAGCACAAAGUUGCAACUUCUAGUUUUCAUCUUUAGGCUGUCUUGUUGCUGUGCUCUGUCCUAGAUGCAUCAGUCUGAUACAGCUUAUACAAUUUUAAUGGUGUGCACUGAACUGCAAGCAUUUGAGAUGGAUUUACGUGGUGGCAAAUUAACUGAGAGACAAAACAUAAAAUUAAUGAUGGAGAAUGAUAGAUACACUUGGAGAAAAACCCAUUCUACAUUAGCACCAGAUCAAUACAGAAGGCUCAAAUCUGCACCAGCAGAAAGAAGCACAAAGGUUCACCACUGCAGCCCUCAAGCCAGCAGGUAUUUUAGGCAAGUGUUCUGUAAAGUUAGUACAACUCUCCAGUUUCUACCCCUAUUGCAAUUUUUGUGUUAGGGAUUACUUCCAUAGCUGGGGGCUGCAGGGUCAUUUUUUUUAAAAGCAAUCCUUUGCUGGCUCUGCACUUCUAAAUACAACCCAAUGAUUAAAUCCUGAAGUCCUUGUUCAGCAAAACUUUUAUCAAAUUUUGCAGGGAGAAAGAAGGGUGGCUGUACAUGGAUUCAAGUAUCCCUUUCAUCGUAUUAUAGCCACGGCAAGAGAUUCUGUUUAACGUUUAGGAAGUAAAAUUCUAACAAACAUUGCUAAAUGCUGAUGUAGUUGAACCUAUUAUUUGGAGGAGUGCAUCACACCAUUUUGUGCUUUACCGUGCUGGAUUAAUGCCAAAGAACGAAGCCAAAAUGAAACACAAAUUGCAAUCAGUCCCCAGCAAUGGAACUGCUUUCUCAUCACCCUUUUGUUCGAAUGGCAUCAUGCAGAAACCAAACAAGCUCUGAGACUGCAAACUGAGGUUUGCUUUGUGAGGGAUUCAGCGGUGAUGGGCCAGCUCUGGCUGGGCUCUGCUGCCUGUUCAUAAGAGGGGAAGAAGUGGAGCAGAGCUGUUUGUUUCAGCCUUUAAAAUCGGUGUUAAAUUGUUGAUGAUGGCGUUGGAGCUGCUGCUCCAGCUGUUUAAACUUUAGCAGCGGAUAACGCCAGCUUCCAAUGUGUUGCUUCCCAAACACAAUGAAAAUAAAAAUAUUCAG